rnacentral:lncRNA from 10 species
CCGAGAGGCAGAGGUUGCAGUGAGCCGACAUGAGGCCACUUCACUCCAGCCUAGGCAACAGAGUGAGACUCGGUAUCAAAAAAAACAAAAAAGAAAAAAUGUGAGCAGUUGGGAAGCAAUAAUAUGAAAAAUGAGAGCAAAAGUAACUGCAACAUUGGGGAAGACUAAACAACGUCGCUUCUGGCGUUGGCUUAUGGAUGACCACCCUGCUUUCUUCACGUUUUAACUGUCUGGAGUCCAGAAAUUAGCAAUGCACCUCCUUGGCAUAUCAGGAUGCCAACAAGCACCCUUGUCCCCAGUUUCAGGACUCGGCGGCGUACUUUCCCAAUACGCAUUCCCUUAUUCUCAAUCCGGUUAGAAGCAAAGAAGUAAUACCACCCACCAAUACUUUCCUUAUACAACACAAAAACACACACACACAUACACAACACCACAUAAUGAAACCAACGCGAAUGUAAGUAAAUCUGUUCUUUGUAAAACGUGUUUUGACCCUCUUUGGAAACACGGCAAUACCAAGUCGAUGCGCAGAGUGGAAAAAACCAGCUCCUAUUUCAUCUUUCUAUUCCAAAACCCCACUUAAAUAUAUCGUCCUCAGACCAAAAAAAAUCAGUUAUUCAACUGAAAAAAACAUGCUACAUUGGAUCUUAGUCAAAAAGCCAAAAAAGAAACAAGCCCUUUCUUUCGGCCACAGCACUCCUUCUCCCACUCAUCCUGAGGUCACGUAACCAUGAUCACGACCACAUUUGAGAAUCAGGGCUCUUUGCAGCUGGGGCAAUACUUCUGGAUCGGGAGCAACUUAUCAUGGAGGACCUGGUAUUAGAGGACACGUUGACAACAUAGAAUAAUACAGAUAAACUCCUACUUCUAGAAACCAAGAGGAGCAACAAAGCCAAAAUAUAUUAGAGGAAUUUGAAGAGGAAGAACUAUAAAGUCAGGAGGGGGAAAAUUGCCAGAAACAGUAAGUUCCUCUUCAAAGUUUCCUUGGUCUUUCUUGCUCUAUACGCAGCCCUUCCUGCUUAAUCAGGAAGGAGCACUUGUUUCUCUGUUUAAUGGGUAACUAGCAAACCUCUUACUUGGUAAACAACCCUUCCCGCCUAGUUGGUAAUGGACAGCCUCUCCCUUCCUGCCUAAUUGGCCUUAUUCAAUUUCAAGCACUAGUCAAUUGGGUCAGCUUAGACUGUGCUGUCCAACUCCAGCAAAUGGGGAAAGGACACAGAAACAGAAACUGUGUUAGGGAUAAAAACCCCUGCUCUACCCGGCUUGAUGUGCUCUUGGGAUCAGUCAGACGCAAGCUGUACCCUUCUGCAGAAGUAAAUGUGCCUUGCUGAGAAAUUCUUUGUUUAAGUGGUGGUUUUUCUUUGCAGCACUGAACACUUGUUUCUAACACCUGGGGGGCAGAGGUUGUGGUGAGCCGAGAUCUUGCCAUUGCCCUCCAGCCUGGCGCCAUGGCUCACAUGGGAGGCUGAGACAGGCAGAUCACUUGAGCACAGAAGUUCGAGAUCAGCCUGGGCAACAUUGGCAAAACCCUGUCUCUACAAAAAAUACAAAAACUAGCUGGGCAUGGUGGUUCAGGCUUGUCAUCCCAGCUACUUGUGAGGCUGAGGUGGGAGGAUAACUUGAGUCCAGUAGGCAGAGGUUACAGUGAGCUGGGAUCAUGCCAUUGCAUUCCAGCCUGGGUGACAGCCAGACUCUGUCUCAAAAAAGAAAAAGAAAAAGAAAAAAAAGUGGUGGAAUCUCUUACACCAGUAAGGGGGUGUACCUUUUUGCAUGCUUAAGAUCUUCUAUUUUCUUUUCUAUGAGCUGACUGCUCAGAUCCUUUCCCCAUUGGCCUUUUUGAAUUGUUGAUCCUUUGUAUUUGCAUCCCUAACCUACUUGUUCUAGUCUAUGAUUUCAGUUACACAUCCAACUUUUGUUUUUUUAAGAUGGCUAACCAGUUGCCUCAGCAUCAUAUAUGGAGCAGCCCACCUUUUCAUCAGUCUGAGAUGCCACUUUUAUCAUAUAAUAAAGGCCUCAUAUAUACUUAGGUCUAUUUCUGAAACUUUCUUUUAAACAAAAGAGCCUUC